rnacentral:lncRNA from 1 species
AGCAGCCUGUAUAUUCCCCUGAUGCUCAUCUUGCCCUCAUCUUGGGGGGCAAAAUGGAGGUCAAGGGGUUUGUUGGGGGUAAGGAAGAGGUUCCAUGAGUGUAUCCCAUAGCUGCCCAGAGCAUCCCCAGAGCCAUCCUAGAGGAGCAGUUCCAGAGCAGCCCCAUCAUUGCCCAUAGCUCGUAGCCAGCAGCAGUUCCACCAGCAGCAGUGUGUUGGGUAAAGACAGCUCCUAAGUGUGGCUCUGCUGCAAGGCUGCCCCAAAGUGCUCCUGAAGCCCUCCCAUAGGCGUCUUUUAACUGUCCCACAAC